rnacentral:rRNA from 1 species
UACGUAGGGGGCAAGCGUUGUCCGGAAUCAUUGGGCGUAAAGGGCGCGUAGGCGGCUUGGCAAGUGGAUGGUGAAAUCCCUCGGCUUAACCGAGGAACUGCCAUCCAGACUGCUUUGCUUGAGGCCGGGAGAGGUGAGUGGAAUUCCCAGUGUAGCGGUGAAAUGCGUAGAUAUUGGGAGGAACACCAGUGGCGAAGGCGGCUCACUGGACCGGUUCUGACGCUGAGGCGCGAAAGCGUGGGGAGCAAACGGG